AAUCUAUCUAAAUCGGAAUGUACACAAAACUAUACAACAUGGCGGGUUAAUUUUAAACAUCUUGAUAUAUUAAUUAAUACAAUAUGCUGGAAUGAAGUUUUGGGGGUAAACUCUUUUAGCCGAUAGUGUAGUUAAUUUAUUUAGUAAUUAUAUGAAGAAAACUAUAGUCAUAUAUCCUACAAACACAAAACAUGUUGGUAAAAAAUAAAAAUUUGGAAUAAUAUUUAUGGUCUGUUAGUGUCAAUUAGGCACAUAGCGAAACUUUAUCUAAUUAAAAAUAAGUACCCUUUUGAUUGUAAUAUUAUAUAAUUUUAUAAUAAGUACAGAAACCUGUUGCAAUAGUUAAUAAAAUGAGCAAAAUAUG